UGAAGGCGUCCAUCGGGCCUGCGG
rnacentral:miRNA from 1 species